UACCAGCACCCCGAGUGGUCGGGACGAUUAUUGGGCCUAAAGCAUCCGUAGCCGGUUCUACAAGUCUUCCGUUAAAUCCACCUGCUUAACAGAUGGGCUGCGGAGGAUACUAUGGAGCUAGGAGGCGGGAGAGGCAAGCGGUACUUAGUGGGUAGGGGUAAAAUCCGUUGAUCCAUUGAAGACCACCAGUGGCGAAGGCGGCUUGC
rnacentral:rRNA from 1 species